AAAUUGAACCAAAGAUAAAAAAAAAGAAGCAAGAAGCGGAGAGCGUCCAAAAAAAAUUGAAUGUGUUGGUUUUUUUUUUUUUUUUUUUUUUUUUUUUU
rnacentral:ribozyme from 1 species